rnacentral:rRNA from 1 species
UACGGGGGGGGCAAGCGUUGUUCGGAAUUACUGGGCGUAAAGGGCUCGUAGGCGGCCAACUAAGUCAGACGUGAAAUCCCUCGGCUUAACCGGGGAACUGCGUCUGAUACUGGAUGGCUUGAGAUUGGGAGAGGGAUGCGGAAUUCCAGGUGUAGCGGUGAAAUGCGUAGAUAUCUGGAGGAACACCGGUGGCGAAGGCGGCAUCCUGGACCAACACUGACGCUGAAUAGCGAAAGCCAGGGGAGCGAACGGG